AAAAAAUACAAUUAAUUUGUCUCAUCUGUUUUCAGAUAACUCUUUAGGAGAUGAUACACCUUUUUGGGCUAAAGCAUCUCUCAUUGGAUCAGCAAUUUUAAUCACCAUUGCUGUUAUCGUAAUAAUUGUGUAUUGUUCCAAAAGAAGGCAGCAGGCAGAGGUCCCUCUUCAAAAUCAGCCACAAUUACGCCAAGAAGAUUUUUACAGUGAAAUUCCCAGAGACACUUCUUUAUCUAAGAAAAAACGCAAUAAGAAGCAGGAGAUUCCCCAGAGGGCUCCUGAAGAAAAUGAGUCAGAUCUGCAAUAUGUCCAGUUGAAUCUGAAGAAAAGUGCCCACAGAAUGCCACCAGCAGUUGAGGAAAAGGUGUAUUAUUCAUCAGUUAAUACCCGCAGAUUGAACCAUCAAAGUUGAAUUCCUAGCAGAAUUUUUAUCCACUCAAAUUUUCAUUAUUUUCAAAUCUGACUGAAUCUGCCAUAGAAUGCUCCCUGUUUCAGCACUGACCUUGUAUCUCUAUAUCAUUCAUUUUAGAUUUUUGAAUACUAGGUAGAUAGUAAUUUAUUUUGUAUUGAGGUCUGUAUUAUUUUAUUAUUUAAAAGUGGGCAUUUUCUAUAAUUUGUUUUAAAAUUAUUAUUGACAAAAUGGCUUCUAAAAGUCACACUUUUGUUAAAUGCUUUCCAGCAAUCCACAACCUUAAAUGUUAGAACAGACAAUGAGGCUUCCACCACCAUACCAUCCAAUGCUAUCAAA